rnacentral:rRNA from 1 species
AUUGAACGCUGGCGGCAGGCCUAACACAUGCAAGUCGAACGAGUGGCGGACGGGUGAGUCAUGUCUGGGAAACUUCCCGAUGGAGGGGGAUAACUACUGGAAACGGUAGCUAAUACCGCAUACCAUCAGAUGUGCCCCGAUGGGAUUAGCUUGUGGUGUGGGUAACGGCUCACCUAGGCGACGAUCCCUCGCUGGUCUGAGAGGAUGACCAGCCACACUGGAACGGAGACACGUUCCAGACUCCUACGGUAGGCAGCAGUGGGAAAUAUUGCACAAUGGGCGCAAGCCUGAUGCAGCCAUGCCGCGUGUAGGAAGAAGGCCUUCGGGUUGUAAAGUACGUUCAGCGGGGAGGCGUUACCCGCAGAAGAAGCACCGGCUAACUCCGUGCCAGCAGCCGCGGUAAUAC